rnacentral:snRNA from 11 species
GGAAGUGAGGGCAAGCUGGCUGCGACAUCUGUCACCCCAUUGAUCGCCAGGGUUGAUAUGGCUGGCUAGGCAGUUGUCCCCUUCCUCCCUCACUGCUUCAUGUGCGUCCCUCCAAAGCUGUGCGCUCAGUGGAAGAGGACAACAUCCCAGGUAUAGAAAGAGUGUACCGAGGUCUCCAGUCUUCAGUUCCAAGUGUACGAUAGCUUUGCUCCCCUGCUACCCUGUUUCCCCGAAAAUAAGACAUCCCCAGAAAAUAAGACCUAGUAGAGGUUUUGCUGAAUU